GGUGGGCCGCCACGAGGUUCUUGAACCUUUCCAGGGAUCCGCGGUUCCAGAACCGACCGAAGGAAGAAGACUCGGGUUUGGAUUGCAGGUGGGGAUCGGAAUCGUCUGCUAGUACGAGACAUCGCCCGGUCGUCACAUCUCGGGCAUCCACCGUGUCGUCCGUACACGUCCAGCAACGUUCUCCGACGUUCGUCAAGAGUCGCCGAAGCGAUCGGUCCUACGAAUUCAAGCGGGAAGUAACUUUGAUAAAUUCGAGUAAAAUCGCGAUCGAAGUUUGGACAAAGAGAUAUUUUGCUCAGCGCAUUCGGUCCAAGUUGAACGGGAGACGACGAUUGUAUAUGAUCGACACCGAGUGCAGGACAGCUUGACAGGUUUUUUCCAGCCGGGUGGAGAAAAACUCAACCGAUCAGCCGAUCAAUGUUAUCGAUCAACAUGCGUAUAUUCAAGACCGUGUUGCUCAUCGGAGCUUUCGGUGCGAGCGUGCGGUGUCUGCCCGUCGCCGACGAGCUGCUCGGGUCCACGACCGAGGUCACCUCGGUGACACCGCAAGAGAUAGCCGCGACCACGGCCGAAUCGACACCCGGGCAUUUCGAUCCUGCGACAGAUUACUACGAUCAGCGGCAGAAUGGCAGCGAAAACUGGCGCAUCCAUGUAGACGGUGUGGUGCUUGUGUUCGCACCGGUCGAAACGCUGCUCCUGGCCGGCCUCGCCGGCUCCAACUUAUCGAUACCCGACGGCGGAUCCACGAUUCCGUCUUUCGGCGAUCUGGACAAGCCUAGCAUCGACGUCAUCAAUAAAACUGAGCCGGCGAUCUCGAAAACAUACAGCAUGAAUAAACCAGCUUUACGACUGGCGAAUUUCUUCGCGCCCUUUAUACGUCGCUUACGCCAUGAACAGGAAACGAGCGUGCAUUAAAGCAACUCUGUAAUACUCGCAACUCCAAUAUGCGUGGUGUUUCGCAUAUAGCAUAUAUUUAAAAACCGGGAUAGGAUUAUCUGCAUCUACAGGGAUGAUGGACGAGUACUCGUAUAACAUAACGUGUACGACCGACCGACUUGAUGUCGUACCGCAUGCAUUUAUAUGGUGUUUAGUAAUCAAUAAAGGGACGCGCCGAUUGCUUACUAUUAGUAGUUAUUUAGCAAGCUCAUUUCUCGUAGCUUGAGAUAGCUUUUAAAAUACACAAUCACAGUUUCAUUGAUAUUAUUCAUGACGAACGAUUGAACUCCGUAUCUCUAUAUAUAUUUUCACGUUGCUUAGCUUAAAAUGCAAUAUUUAACUGUUACUUUCUCAUCGCGUUGCGGUAGAGGUGUGUGUCACACAAUAUAUGCAACUAUUAUUCAUUCGCUUGCGAGCCAAUCGAAUAUAUUAGCGGCGGUCAGCUAUGAAUGCCUUGCAAUCUCACUCAUGGAUGCGAUCAUUAAUCGUAAAACUGUGUAUUUACGCGAUAGUACUGUUUUAAUUAAGUAUAGAAUUAUGUAUACACAGCGCAGUGGCGCAUUCGCGUGUAUCUUGAUAUGAAAAUUUAUUUGAUUAAACAUUAAAAUACA
rnacentral:misc_RNA from 1 species